AUACGUAGGUGGCAAGCGUUGUCCGGAAUUACUGGGUGUAAAGGGAGCGUAGGCGGGCAGGCAAGUCAGGCGUGAAAGAUAUCGGCUCAACCGGUAGCUGCGCUUGAAACUGCAGGUCUUGAGUGAAGUAGAGGUUGGCGGAAUUCCUAGUGUAGCGGUGAAAUGCGUAGAUAUUAGGAGGAACACCAGUGGCGAAGGCGGCCAACUGGGUCUUUUACUGACGCUGAGGCUCGAAAGUGUGGGGAGC
rnacentral:rRNA from 1 species